rnacentral:lncRNA from 1 species
GGGAAAGAAAGGGAAGAAAGAAAAUGGUGAUUUGCAUUCUUGGACACAUGGUUAAAUUUCAAGAGGUGUGUACUUUUAUACCUGGACCCAGAACAUGUGCAGAAAUGUAAAUUCCAUUCCUCAACCUUCCCACAGGUGUGAUUGUGACAUAUAACUUUGCCCAGCCAGAAUUUGACUGAUUUGACUAUACUGCCUGAAUAAAGCCCACAGUGUGGGUUGUGACAUAUGCCUAAGCCAAAAGCCUCAGUAAGGUGACCCUCCUGCCUAGUCCCUUCUCACAGGUGGCAUUGUGAUAUACCUCUGGUCUCAUUCCCAGAUGAUGUGAUUGUCAUCUCCUGCCUGGGCCCGGUUCAUAAAGGGGAUUGUGACAUAUUGCUGAGCCAGGAAUCAUGUGAUGUAAUCUUUCAGCCAGGGUUCUGCCCACAGGAGGCAUUGUGACAAAUCACUCGUCCCAGCACCAUAGUGAUGUGAAUUUCCUACCAGCACUCAACUCACAGAGGGGAUACUAAUACACCCCUGGCUGAGUAUUCAGGUGAUGUGACUCUCCUGCCUGGUUCUGCCCACAGCCAAUAGAUGAAAAAAGAUUCAAGGAAGACACAUUUGCUUUUUAUUCACUCAUCACUUCCCAUCACUAUGCUGACCAGAGUCAAUGUGAGCAGAGUUGAGAAUAGCAGUUUUCUGGCAGGAGAGCCACUUCUCAGCAAAAAAUGACACACUCAAAGUAUAAAUCUUUCAUGGAAGGCUCACAUAUUUUCAGCAAAUUAAGCAUAUGCAUGAAUAAAAUUCUUGUGGUGAAAUAAAGAUUCAUUUUAUUGAUUCCUAUUGAGCUCAGGUAAUAUUGGAUGAAAAGCAAAAAAAUUAUUUGAAAUAGAAAUAUUGUGAAUAAAGUUAUUGUCAAUUAAAGUAAAAAUAUUAUCUCACACUUGUCAUCUUAUCUAUAGUUGUACAAUAUCAAAUGCUACUUUUUAUUAACAAUUGUACUUCAUAUAAGUAUUCCAUUUAUUUCACCCUUCUUAACUGUUUCAAUGCCUUCUGCACUUCAUAUCAGUGAAAAGCAGGCCGGCUGGUGCCAGGAAAUGGAUGUGGUGCUAUUGCUACUUUAAGAGUAAUGAUGAAGAGCACUUGUCUGAAUUGUUCCCAAGUGGCCAACACUGUUAUUUGGCCCAAAGUACACACAUUUCUUAUUUUCCUCUAAAUUUACUGCUGAAAUAAAAUUCUUAGCUAAGAAAGGCU